rnacentral:rRNA from 1 species
UACGUAGGCAGCAAGCGUUGUUCGGAGUUACUGGGCGUAAAGAGCUCGUAGGUGGUUUGUCGCGUUGUUCGUGAAAACCGGGGGCUUAACCCUCGGCGUGCGGGCGAUACGGGCAGACUUGAGUACUGCAGGGGAGACUGGAAUUCCUGGUGUAGCGGUGGAAUGCGCAGAUAUCAGGAGGAACACCGGUGGCGAAGGCGGGUCUCUGGGCAGUAACUGACGCUGAGGAGCGAAAGCGUGGGGAGCGAACAGG